AAGUCGUAACAAGGUUUCCGUAGGUGAACCUGCGGAAGGAUCAUUACCGAGUGAGGGCCCUCUGGGUCCAACCUCCCACCCGUGUUUAUUUACCUUGUUGCUUCGGCGAGCCUGCCUUUUGGCUGCCGGGGGACGUCAGUCCCCGGGUCCGUGCUCGCCGGAGACACCUUAGAACUCUGUCUGAAGAUUGUAGUCUGAGAUUAAAUAUAAAUUAUUUAAAACUUUCAACAACGGAUCUCUUGGUUCCG
rnacentral:misc_RNA from 2 species